GGGGCCAGCUGCAUGAGGGGCGGAGCUUGGAAGGCUUGGCCCAGUACCCUUUAAAUUAAGUAGAAGUGGCCUUGGCCAAAUGUCUCUCCCCUGCCUUGAAAAAAGGUGACCUGGAGACCCGGGGAGGCAACCCAGAGUAUGGGUGUAAUAACCAUCACCUUUCCUGUUAUAGCUAUGCUAUAAAUGGACAGACAUUCUUCUGGUGCACCUAAGCACAUGUUCUGCCUGUAACCCUCACUCUCCAAUGGAUAAAAAACACAGGGUCGUGUGGAUGGAGCAUACUAGUGGUUAGAGCAAGUGGUCAUGUAGGCAAGUAAGGAGUAUUCAUUACGGGGAAUCCGUCCCCACAGGCUUGAAAAAUAGCUUCAAUCCUUGUAGGGUACAAUCUAAUAUCUUUCCAUUAAUGCAUGGUUAUGCUGUAUUGGCCAAGACUCGAUGUUUUGGAUAGUAACAGUCUUUAGGUGGAACAACUUAUGGUUGCAUCUACCUUGUGCUGUGCUGGACUGGGUUCCUGUGAAAUAAAUGUGAAAGGUUUAGGCUUGAGACUGAUAUGGUGAUGGUAAAUUGGCACGUAGCAGCUCCAAACUCCUGCCAGGGGAGAAAGAGGCCACAGGCAAAAAUUUGGUUCUGUGAUCCUGGUGGGAAGUUAGGCUUCAUGGACCUUCUGGUGUAGAAUGAUAUCUGCAGGGGGCGUGCUUGGUAGUGGGCAGUGGGUCUAACUGUUGAAGGCAAAUAUCUAUGGAUGUCUCUAUCUAUAGAUGGAUGGAGGUCUAUAGAUGUACUUAAGGGAAAAAAGUGCUGAAUGUAACAAAACUGUCCCAACUUCACACACGAUACAUAGCAUAUAUUUUUACAUGUUUUUUUCAUUAUUAGUAAUAUUGCAUAUUAAUAUGUCGGUGGGGCUGUGCACUUUUAUGUUAUUAGCCUUAUAUUGAUGAUGGUGAUCUUUGUGGAUAUUUUUGUUCUUUGAUGUCUUGAAAGUCACAGACAUAAUUAAAUAUAACAUGUUGUAUUUAAGCUUGGUUUAAAAUAAUGCAGCUGUUUUAUAGUGUGCCUGGAAGUAAUGGUUACUUGUGUGCUUGCAGAGGAUCUAUUGCCUUUCCCUUAUCCAAAUGUUUGACAGUUGAGUGCACUUACCUAUGUAAUGAUGUUUACAGAUUAAAAUAAACAAUAUACACAUGUAUAUAAAAAAAAAA